rnacentral:rRNA from 1 species
GAUGAACGCUAGCGGCAGGCCUAAUACAUGCAAGUCGGACGGGAUCCAUUGAUAGCUUGCUAUCAAUGGUGAGAGUGGCGCACGGGUGCGUAACGCGUGAGCAACCUGCCUCCAUCAGGGGGAUAGCCUCUCGAAAGAGAGAUUAACACCGCAUAAUAUCAACAGCUCGCAUGUUCAGUUGAUUAAAUAUUUAUAGGAUGGAGAUGGGCUCGCGUGACAUUAGCUAGUUGGUAGGGUAACGGCUUACCAAGGCGACGAUGUCUAGGGGCUCUGAGAGGAGAAUCCCCCACACUGGUACUGAGACACGGACCAGACUCCUACGGGAGGCAGCAGUAAGGAAUAUUGGUCAAUGGGCGGAAGCCUGAACCAGCCAUGCCGCGUGCAGGAUGACUGCCCUAUGGGUUGUAAACUGCUUUUGUCCAGGAAUAAACCUAAAUACGAGUAUUUAGCUGAAUGUACUGGAAGAAUAAGGAUCGGCUAACUCCGUG